CUGGGCUCCUUGCGUGUCUUCUGCGCAGGGCCUGGGUUAUGUUUGGUGCAGUCGGGACCGUGCAGCCCCUCACUUCCAUCUUGGUGAUUGGCAUAUUGUUUAGAGACGAGGAGGGAUGAUCUUAGGCUCUGGAGGAAGCUGGCAAGCAAGUCGAAUUCUAUAAAAAGAAACACGCGGUCAGGAUACGGUUUCCUAUUCUGAGUCAAGGCGAAGUAGAGAGUCAGAAAUUCCAACCCAGAGGGUCAGGACGGGCUCCAGGACCUCUUGAAUCACAUGUGAAGCCUGUUCCCCAAACUCCUCCCUCCUCCCUGUUCUUACAACUGGCCAACCGGGAUUACACAACUCACACUAAUUUUAUUCCACACACGGCUGUUUCUCAUUAGAAGCCAGAACCUUAUUUUUUCCUGUCCCAUGCCAUCCCCUUCUGAUUCAGAAACUGCAAACCUGUGUCCCAGACCUUCUCCGGGUAGGAUGAAGCGCAGACACGUGACACUACCGCAUCUGGAGAGAAACUGCCAAGCAGCUCAAAGCCCAGGCCCCCCUGAGCCUCAGGAGAAGCAGCCCUCCUCCACUUCUCCGGUGCCCCUCUGCCCCAUGUCCUGUUUUUACUUAGAACGAGCCUGAGCACAUAUGCCACCUUGCCAGGCCUCGCCAGAGUCUCCCAAUGGCACAGAGCGCACAUUACACAGAUGGAAUGCAACAUACAUGUAAAGAAAUAAGAGCACUGCCAGGAAAGUUGGCAGCGGCUCCGGAAUGCUUUAAACAGUGUGCAUGUGGGUAGAGAGAGUGAGCCCGGAGUCGGGGAGGCUGCCUCACUCCCAAGAGCUGUUUCUUUUACAGCCAUGACCUGUUUUGCCAGUCAAAAUAAAUACGGUGUUAAAUGCCCCCUUUUACUGGCCCCUGAUACCUUGGCGAUGCAGUUUGAAAUAUGACCUGCUCUUCUCAGGAAAAUGUCAUUUUAACUGAGCGGAGAGGAUGCGU
rnacentral:lncRNA from 1 species